ACCCGAAGGGGGAAUCUCUGUAGGGUAUGGGGGUGUGAUUUGUCGUCCAGGGGCGGGGUCGUUGGUCUAAGGCGAGCCACUCUAAAAGGAAGAAUGGGCGGGGCGGAAUUUGUCCCGUGUGGGCGUGGCUACCGAGCGAGGGGCGGGGCUUCGCCAAGCCCCACCCCCAGGCUGAAGCCCACACAACCAGGGGUCCAACGGGGGAGCCCAACGCCUCUUUGGACGGAUUACGAAGCUGAGACUUCCCCCGGGUGACGCUAGCUAGCUACCCGCCAUGUUAAUCCAGAGUCCCUCAGAAAAACAGAGAGGUGUCAGAGGGAUUUUGAAUGGAAAAGCUGAACAAAGAGAAACCAGAUCCUGCUGGAUAAAUCAGCAUUAAAAGGAAAGGAAGGAUGUUUAACCCUCAAAAUCCCUGACAUCUGGAACUAAAAACCUGCUUCAGCUGGGUGUCUGGAAGCACCAAAUGGUGUCCAAGAAGUCACUGCUGCUCUGCACCACUGGAACUCAACACUCCAGAUCUCAGGCAGGAGGCAAAGGGGGACACUGAGCCUGGGAACCACUCAGAUCCGGGGCUCCUGCUCCGUGAAGUCACCUCUUUGCAGGAAAAACAAUUACAGGCCUUGGAUGGAAGGGGGGUAGCAGUGAUUCAGAGCUGCCCCCAGGAUCCCGCCUUUGAACUGACACAAACCAAGGAACUUCUGGGAAAUGGCCAAAGCAAACAGGCUUGCCUCCCUCCCUCCAACAAAAGACCAGAGGUACUCAGAAGCUUGGACUCCCCUGAGCUCCCUCUAAAUAACAAGAAAAAGAAUAGACAGGCUGUUCCUACUCAGCCAUGGCUUGCAUUUUACAAAGGCGAGAGAAACAUCCCAUCACACUUAGGGUGAGGAGAAAGAGGAAGCAAGAGCAGACUCCUGCCAUGUGGCAGACUGAUCCCAGAGCAGAUACCCACCCUAAUGAGAAACUGGAUUCCAGCUAAGACAAAUACGGGUUUUUUAAAGCUCAUUCCACCACCAAAGCGGCCCCAGUAGACAGCAGUGUGGCCUUCUGACAUUGGCAUCCCUCAUCCCCUUUGAGCCUGGACUUUAUUGAACAUGGUUCUGCCUGUGGGCUAAAGAGCUCGCCCUAGCCUUAGCAUUCUCCACAUAAUGAGUGUGUCUCGUUUCUAUUUCUGUAGAAUUUGAUGAGGGAUGAUAACAGGGUAAUUGAAUUCGUUUUUUUUCUUUCGGUGCCAGCCUCCCUGCCCUCUGGCUCUGAGGUUUCAUGCAUUGUCCUCCUGGCUUUUUAAAUUUCCUUUCUUACAGUUGGCAUGGGAGGGGAGGGAAACUUUCUUACAUUUUAUCUUCCUGGGGAAUAAUAUCUAAUAUGUCCGUAGUAAAUGUGUGGACCAUGGGAUUUUAUAACUGGAAGGAUUCCAAAGAUAGUCUCCUUGUGCCAUAGAUUAGGAAAUUGUAGGCUCAGAAGAUGUAAGAAACUUCCUCAAAGUUUUGCUUCCCCACCCAGAAUUGGGAAAAGGGGUCAUUUGAGGGAGCAAAAUGAAUGAGGUCCUUAAAAAAGACAAUUCUUUUUCCCCUAAAUGUCACUAAACACAGUGACAUCACAUAGUCAAUGCUUACUAAAGGCUUGGCGACUGAUCUACCCAGGAUACCAGAGUGGUGCAGCAGAGAGAGCCCAGUAGUACUUACUACAA